CUCCGCCUCCCCACAGGUGCAGUCAGGAGUUGCAGGUAUGGCGGCAAACCCAAACAACAGGAGCUCGGAUAAAAGAAGAAGAGGGUUCCUCAGCAUUGGCGGUGUUUUACAGCUCCUCUGUUUCCACUGUGUUCCUGCCACGCCUACAGGACGACCAGGAUACUUUUAACACUGGUUCUGGAUGAUCAUCCUAUAGGAACAGAAAGUCACGGGACCCCUAACCAGCUGUGGGCUCUGGGAAAUAAACAUCACUCAAAUUUCUGCAAUCAGCUGCCUUCCUUCCACACAGGCACGGGAUAUUCCCAAUACUGA